rnacentral:rRNA from 1 species
GACGAACGCUGGCGGCGUGCCUAAUACAUGCAAGUAGAACGCUGAAGGAGGAGCUUGCUCUUCUGGAUGAGUUGCGAACGGGUGAGUAACGCGUAGGUAACCUGCCUGGUAGCGGGGGAUAACUAUUGGAAACGAUAGCUAAUACCGCAUAACAGUAGAUGUUGCAUGACAUUUGCUUAAAAGGUGCAAUUGCACCACUACCAGAUGGACCUGCGUUGUAUUAGCUAGUGGGUGGGGUAACGGCUCACCAAGGCGACGAUACAUAGCCGACCUGAGAGGGUGAUCGGCCACACUGGGACUGAGACACGGCCCAGACUCCUACGGGAGGCAGCAGUAGGGAAUCUUCGGCAAUAGACGGAAGUCUGACCGAGCAACGCCGCGUGAGUGAAGAAGGUUUUCGGAUCGUAAAGCUCUGUUGUAAGAGAAGAACGAGUGUGAGAGUGGAAAGUUCACACUGUGACGGUAUCUUACCAGAAAGGGACGGCUAACUACGUG